GGACCCGUAGCCUAGCCUGGAUAGCGGCAAUCUAUCGGAUUGACGUAAGACACAUAGGGCGACAGCCUUCUAAGCUGUAGGUCGGGAGUUCAAAUCUCCCCGGGUCCG
rnacentral:tRNA from 1 species